rnacentral:tRNA from 1 species
CUCCCCGUAGUUCAACGGAUAGAACAAGGGACUUCUAAUCCUUAAAUCGAGGUUCGAUUCCUCGCGGGGAGA